rnacentral:rRNA from 1 species
UACAGAGGGUGCAAGCGUUAAUCGGAAUUACUGGGCGUAAAGCGCACGUAGGCGGCUUGGUAUGUCGGGUGUGAAAUCCCCGGGCUCAACCUGGGAACUGCAUCCGAAACUGCCUUGCUGGAGUAUGGGAGAGGGAAGCGGAAUUUCCGGUGUAGCGGUGAAAUGCGUAGAUAUCGGAAGGAACAUCAGUGGCGAAGGCGGCUUCCUGGACCAAUACUGACGAUCAGGUGCGAAAGAGUGGGGAGCAAACAGG